rnacentral:rRNA from 1 species
GAUGAACGCUGGCGGCGUGCCUAAUACAUGCAAGUCGAGCGAACGGACGAGAAGCUUGCUUCUCUGAUGUUAGCGGCGGACGGGUGAGUAACACGUGGAUAACCUACCUAUAAGACUGGGAUAACUUCGGGAGACCGGAGCUAAUACCGGAUAAUAUUUUGAACCGCAUGGUUCAAAAGUAAAAGACGGUCUUGCUGUCACUUAUAGAUGGAUCCGCGCUGCAUUAGCUAGUUGGUAAGGUAACGGCUUACCAAGGCAACGAUGCAUAGCCGACCUGAGAGGGUGAUCGGCCACACUGGAACUGAGACACGGUCCAGACUCCUACGGGAGGCAGCAGUAGGGAAUCUUCCGCAAUGGGCGAAAGCCUGACGGAGCAACGCCGCGUGAGUGAUGAAGGUCUUCGGAUCGUAAAACUCUGUUAUUAGGGAAGAAUAUAUGUGUAAGUAACUGUGCACAUCUUGACGGUACCUAAUCAGAAAGCCACGGCUAACUACGUGCCAGCAGCCGCGGUAAUACGUAGGUGGCAAGCGUUAUCCGGAAUUAUUGGGCGUAAAGCGCGCGUAGGCGGUUUUUUAAGUCUGAUGUGAAAGCCCACGGCUCAACCGUGGAGGGUCAUUGGAAACUGGAAAACUUGAGUGCAGAAGAGGAAAGUGGAAUUCCAUGUGUAGCGGUGAAAUGCGCAGAGAUAUGGAGGAACACCAGUGGCGAAGGCGACUUUCUGGUCUGUAACUGACGCUGAUGUGCGAAAGCGUGGGGAUCAAACAGGAUUAGAUACCCUGGUAGUCCACGCCGUAAACGAUGAGUGCUAAGUGUUAGGGGGUUUCCGCCCCUUAGUGCUGCAGCUAACGCAUUAAGCACUCCGCCUGGGGAGUACGACCGCAAGGUUGAAACUCAAAGGAAUUGACGGGGACCCGCACAAGCGGUGGAGCAUGUGGUUUAAUUCGAAGCAACGCGAAGAACCUUACCAAAUCUUGACAUCCUUUGACAACUCUAGAGAUAGAGCCUUCCCCUUCGGGGGACAAAGUGACAGGUGGUGCAUGGUUGUCGUCAGCUCGUGUCGUGAGAUGUUGGGUUAAGUCCCGCAACGAGCGCAACCCUUAAGCUUAGUUGCCAUCAUUAAGUUGGGCACUCUAAGUUGACUGCCGGUGACAAACCGGAGGAAGGUGGGGAUGACGUCAAAUCAUCAUGCCCCUUAUGAUUUGGGCUACACACGUGCUACAAUGGACAAUACAAAGGGCAGCGAAACCGCGAGGUCAAGCAAAUCCCAUAAAGUUGUUCUCAGUUCGGAUUGUAGUCUGCAACUCGACUACAUGAAGCUGGAAUCGCUAGUAAUCGUAGAUCAGCAUGCUACGGUGAAUACGUUCCCGGGUCU